rnacentral:rRNA from 1 species
CGGCGGACGGGUGAGUAACGCGUGGGUAACCUGCCUCAUACAGGGGGAUAACAGUUGGAAACGGCUGCUAAUACCGCAUAAGCGCACAGUACCGCAUGGUACGGUGUGAAAAACUCCGGUGGUAUGAGAUGGACCCGCGUCUGAUUAGGUAGUUGGUGGGGUAACGGCCUACCAAGCCGACGAUCAGUAGCCGACCUGAGAGGGUGACCGGCCGCAUUGGGACUGAGACACGGCCCAA